AGUGAACGCUGGCGGCAGGCCUAACACAUGCAAGUCGAACGGCAGCACAGUAAGAGCUCGCUCUUACGGGUGGCGAGUGGCGGAUGGGUGAGGAAUACAUCGGAAUCUACUUUUUCGUGGGGGAUAACGUAGGGAAACUUACGCUAAUAGCGCAUACGAACUACGGGUGAAAGCAGGGGAUCUUAGGACCUUGCGUGAUUGAAUGAGCCGAUGUCGGAUUAGCUAGUUGGCGGGGUAAAGGCCCACCAAGGCGACGAUCCGUAGCUGGUCUGAGAGGAUGAUCAGCCACACUGGAACUGAGACACGGUCCAGACUCCUACGGGAGGCAGCAGUGGGGAAUAUUGGACAAUGGGCGCAAGCCUGAUCCAGCCAUGCCGCGUGGGUGAAGAAGGCCUUCGGGUUGUAAAGCCCUUUUGUUGGGAAAGAAAAGCAGCAGGUUAAUACCCCGCUGUUCUGACGGUACCCAAAGAAUAAGCACCGGCUAACUUCGUG
rnacentral:rRNA from 1 species